rnacentral:lncRNA from 1 species
AAGAGUUGGUAGCAAGUUUUGAAAUCCUUUCUCACUUGACUUGACAUGAAUUUGACUAAAAAAUAUGAGAAAACUGAUGAUCACAAAUUUUCAUUUGACAACAAAUACCCCAAAAUAAAAUAAAAAUAAAAAUAUAGAAAGAAAAGAAAAGGCAAUAGACAUCUCUUUUUCAAAAACGUAAAAAAAAAAAAACUAAUCUGGGUGUGGUAGCCGGUUCCGGUGAUAUUGAUAUGC